rnacentral:lncRNA from 1 species
UAUACGCUAAUUAGGUGAGAGAAAAUAAAAAAAAAUGAGAUAGAAAAAUAUUUUGUAGCAUAUAUUAAGCCUUAAUUUUAGGAUGGAACUAAAUUUAAAUUUUUUGCUAUAAACUAAAAAGGGUAUUUAUAGAAUGUAAUAUUUUAAAAGGGUAUUUAUAGAAUAUAAAUAGGGUACUAACCUAUUCUAUAGGUGGUAAAAUUUCCUUCUUUUUUUAGGUUAGUUCCAAAGCAAUAAUGAAUUAUUUGACUACAAAUACAAGCGUUUGUGCAGGAAUCACAUUAUUGCACCUAUAAGUUUAAACCGUUCACGCGUUAUACUCCCUCCAUUCACUUUUACUUGUCAUAUUUCGCUUUUCGAGAGUCAAUUUGAUUAUUUUUUGAUAAAUUGCAUAAGAUUUUCUUAAUAUUUUAAAAUUAAAAUUUGAUAUUCAGAAAUUAUACAAAAAAAUACUAUAAUUUGUAAUUUUUCUCAUAUCAAUAUGAUAAAAAAAAAUACUCCCCCUGUUCCAAUUUAUGUGAACCUAUUUCCUUUUUGGUCCGUUCUAAAAAGAAUGACCCCUUUCUAAAUUUAGUAACAAUUUUGCUUAAACUUACAAUUGUACCCUUAAUAAGAAGCUUUUAUAACCACACAAAUACCCUGGCCUCUUUUUGACUUGUUUAGGACCACAAAUUUCAAAAGUCUUCAUUUUUUCUUAAACUACGUGCUCAGUCAAACAUGUUCACAUAAAUUGGAACGGAGGGAGUACAUGUUAACAUGUUGGUCAAAGUUUAUGUAGUUUGACUCUCGAAUAGCGAAACAUGACAAGUAUAGGUGAACGGAAGGAGUACAUCCUUAAGCUCGGGAGGGUCGGGUGAUUUAAAGGCAAACACAUCACCUACAACUAUCAAAAUAAAGGCAUUCAUGACUACUUGAAUUAUUUUACUAAUCAAUUUAUCAUUUUUAUUAAGUUAAUAUGGCUAGUCGCAAUAAUUAUUUGGUCAUUAUAUUUACAAGGCAACAUAUAUAAAGUCCCCCUUAAACUUAUCCAGACAACAUGUUUGAACACUUAAACUAAACGAACGUUCUUUUAAACACCCCUCCCUUUUUAAAAAAAAAACUUUUCUUUAAUUAAUGUUUUCCUUUUUUUCUUUCUAUAUCCACAUUUUCCCUAAACUUGUACCCUUCUUCUUCCAUCCAACAACCACCCACAGUGUGCUAUACCACCAUAUCAGUCGCCUCCUAUCUUCACUUCCUUCAUCCCCAUCCCCACCCCACCACUCCACAACAAAACAAAGAAAAAACAUACUUUAAUUUUCAUGACAUAGACAGAGAGCUCACCGGCGAAAUUUUCUCGGCGUAAAAGAUUCGGUGCUUCCUUCGGCCUUCGUUACAGGUUUUGAGGUGGGGAGGGAGAACAAAUUUUCCGGCGUAAAAGAUUAAGUUUACAUGAAAACUUUCACUGCUUCCUUCGGCCUUUCACCAUUUUCCGAUCUGGUUCUUCAUCCAUGAAAGUGGUGGGGAUAGGCUGCAAUAAUAACAAAUUCCAUUAGAGUUGCAGAGAAAUGAUAUUAUGUGAAAAUUACCUCAGAAAAGUAGAGAAGGUGACUUAAAUGGUUGUAAUAUACAACAAUGAGGUCAUGCCGGAAAGGGUAGCUGCCGGAACUUUUCUUCCUCAACUUCGCUGAGGUUGUGGGGAAGAACGAAGAAUGCUGGGGUGGGUGAAAAUGAAAAAAACCAUUAUAGAAAAUAUAAAAAAAAAAUGAGUUUUUGACAUGUGGAGGUGCGUGUAGAACACCUCCCAUGUGGUUUUGCACUUCGAAGGAGGUAUUAAAUUCACUUGAAAUGAAAAUGGGGAGGGGGGGGGGGGGGAGGGGGGGAUAAAAGAACUUACGUUUAGUUUAAGUGUUCAAACAUAUUUUCUGGACAAGUUUAAGGGGGACUUUAUGUAUUUUGCCUAUUUACAACUACAACUUGGCAUCUCCUUUAUUAACUAUUUGCAAUAUUUUUUACUCACGCAAUCAAAAUGAAGCAUAGAGUCAUCCAAAUGUUAUGUGUAUUAAUCAAGAAUAGAAAUAUUUAGAAAAGAUAAAAGCAAGUAAAAGAACUGCCAAGCAAACUAGUUUAAGUUUAUUAAGGAAAUCCUUUUUUACUCUUUUGGUGUUCCUUAGGAUGUAGAUAAUUUUUGUAAAGGGAGCCUCUCCCUUGUUUAUUUUCUCUAAAUAGGAGGAAUCUCCAAUCAUAGAACUAUGUUGUUUAGUAUCCUAUUUUCCAAACCAUUUUACAGAAUUGAGUUUGUUCAAUCUUCACUAGGGAUUGGGAGUAUAGCCUAGUCCAGCUCCUAUGUAACUUUGUGAUAUUUAAUACACGAGGUAGGGGUCAUUGCGCCCCCCCCCCCCCACCACCACCAACAAAUCACCACAGGAGGUGAAAGCUUGCGUGGAUGGAUUAGUUAAAAAAAAUGAGUAUAACCUUGUGGAAAUGAGAAACGAGUGUAAAAAAGGCAACCCAGUGCACUAAGCUCCCGCUAUGCGCGGGGUCCGGGAAAGGACCGGACCACAAGGAUCUAUUGUACACAGUCUUACCCUGCAUUUCUACAAGAUGUUGUUUCCACGGCUCGAGUGUAAUAUAAUGUUCAUAGGCAAUUAUGGAAAGUUAACCUUAAUAAAUAAAUACCUAUGUGUCAUAAGCAAUUAUGGAAAGUUCAUUCUGGAAUAUAAUGUAAUACUUACAUGAGAUACGAAUAUCCACGGGUUUGAUUCCAAGGUUUUCUUGUUCUUGUUGAAUUCGUGCAGCAGAAGCCUCCAGUUC